GUUCAGUAGGUGUUCUGUAGGAAUUGUUCCACACAUGUAGAUGUGUUUCUGAUAUAUGUGUGGGAAGGAAGGUGAUUUCCACAUCUUACUCCUCUGCCACCUUGAAGGUGUCUAGGCCAACUUUAAAGUGACUAUUCUCAAAUUUAAGCCCACAAUUAAAAUAUGACUUGGAAAUUCAGGGUCCCUCACCAUAAAGGAAAAAUUGAUUUAUUUGAUCAGCACACUGACUGGAUUUGACUGUUUUACAAAAAUUUUAAAUCUUAAUAAGAAAUGAAGUUGUCUUUUUAAAAGUCAUUCCUUUGAAUGUGUACAGAAUUGAAAUGUUAGAUAACAUACAAAGAUAGUUCAGGAAUUAUUCUUCUCUGGGUGCUAGUGCUGCACUAAAAGAGCAGCAAUGUGCUGCAGAUGGUUUUACAACAACAUUCUCUCUGUGGCAGGAUGGAUUUAUGGAUUUCUGGAACAGUGAUAUGAAGAGCCUCCUCCCAGAAUUGUGAAUGUGAAGGAACCCACUGUCACUGGGAUGUGGUCCAGAAAGCUGUCUUAAUACUUGAAACAAUGAUAACAAAGUCUCAGCAAAUAUUUAGUAAACACUAAGUGUAUCAACCAUGUUGGUCAUUAUGACCUCCCAGUCUGACCUGACUGAUUUUUCUUAAAUGCAAUCAAACAUCACCAUCAUCUCCUGUCUCCAAAAAUGUGCACACACAUUCACGGUAUGCAAAAGGAACAAGGUCCCAAGCAUGUUUAUAGUGAGCAUGAGCCCUGGAACGUUAAUAUACAAAGUGCAAGGCCAGCAGGACAUUCUUGAACAGACCAAACUGAAAGAUUAAUUUAAUGGGAAACAUUCAACGCUUCUAGCUAUACACUGAUUAUCGAAUGCAACUGUAUGAAGAGUUUUAUUAUUUAUUAUCUAAGAACCAAACUAUGCAUUACAUAGUAAGCUAGCCCUCUAAGACUGAGAUCACUAUAGAAGGAUAGUUGAUUUAAGUUUGCUGAACUGAAAGAUAAUAGGGCAUUUCAUGAAAGAAAAAGUAUACUUUUCUAAGAACCAUGAAUUAGAAGAGUCCAUUUCCUUCAAUGUAAGUUACAUUGUCCAAGAAAAAGCUUAAAACUUGGCAGGAUCCAUAGUAUCACAGACUUAUGUCCUUUGGCAUAAAUAUCCAUAGUAUUUUGGCCACCUCUGAAAGCAAAAGAACUGUGAAGGCGAGAUGGAAUAGAGAAUAAGAAAGAGCCAAGGAGAGGCUCUGCCAUUAUUUUUUUUAAUUUUGGUUGAUUGUCUUAUUUUAUCUUGUUUUGUUUUAAGGUAAUUUCACAAUAAAUAAUGGAAGAAAAAGUAUAUAACUUAGGACAAAACAGAUAAAAAUAAUUUUUAAAAUGAAAGUUUGAUGAUAACUAGAUUUCCUCAUUUAAUAGUAAUCUAUUCUAUAAAUUUUUCAUAUUUCAUAUGUGAAAAACAAGUAUACUUGAUCCCUUACUGGCAGGAAGAAUUAAUUUCUCUGAUAAUUACACCUAAGUAUAACUGGCUUUGUAUGAUAUAUUAAAAAAUGUAAGUAAACUUCACUCUUCAAUGUUAACAUGAACAGCUAAAGGGAAAUAUAGUUUAAAAUAAAACUAUUUCCUAGUGUCAUUUUUUUUUAAUUGACAAGAUUAACUUGAGCACUAAGAAAAUGAAAUAUAACCUUGAAUUAUAAGGCAAGUGAGAUGCCUCAAGAUCUAUUUUUGUGAAUAUUAUCUUCUAAAGCAUAUUUCCAAAAUCUUUUCAAUGUGAUUGAUGAUAUUUUAUAGAAGAAAAAUAAGUUAUAUAAAUUUAUUGAAAAUGAAAAAAAAUACUCUUAUAAAAUUUAUCUCAUUCAUAUAAUCCUUGACUCUGCAAACUGAAGUUAUCUGUGAGUAAAAUAUAACCUUUGUUCUGGAACUAUAGCUUUGCUACAUUAAACUUUACAUCAUUACAUUUUUCAAAAUAUUGAACCAACAAAAAUCAAAAAUCAUCUUUUUACGAACUUGGAAACAAGAUCAAGUCAUCCUAAAUUAAUGGUGAGAAUGUAACUUAUUGUUAUUAUUCCACAAGAUAAUAGAUACCAAGGUAUGUGCACAAUUCUAUUUUAAUGAACAUAACGGAUUCUGAGACACUGACCAUUUUUAUGGCAUACAGCACUGAACAUAACGGAUUCUGAGACACUGACCAUUUUUAUGGCAUACAGCACUGAACUAUGUAAAUGACCCAAAUCUUUUUCAGGCUAUGUCCCUAAUGAGUCACAUGGGGUAAGUACUUUACCACCUCUAUUUAUUUUAAAUAAUUUACAUCUGUUUUUCUACAGCAACCCAAAUCCAAUGUCAGACUUUGGAUCAUUUUAUCACUUACGUGGCUUUGCCUCUUGACUAUUACGCCCUCCUUCAACUUCCGUAUUUCCAUUUGUUCUCCAUGAAUUCACUUAGUCCUCCAACCUCUUGCCUCCCUCCAUUUUAUAUCAAGCUGUAAAUCUGCUAUUGGAUUCACUAGUUUCUCUACUCUGCCAGCACUGAUAGCCUAUGUAUUAUUUCAUCCAAACACACACUAGAAUCUGCUAUGUCCUUGGUCUUUCUCUGCAUCUCUCUGGAAAAUUCCCAAUACUGCAGCCAAAGUGGUUUAAAAUAGAGAAUUUGGGGGAUUAUUUAGACCAGGAUUAUACCUCCCCUAUGAUUUAGUCAAGUACUGCCAUUAUCCCCAGUUGAUUCCCUCAUAUAAUGGUGACUAUAAUUUACUGAUCACAAGAGAUGUUGCAGAGAUUAAUCGUAAUGAGUUUGUAUAUACCUUCUACAGUGUCUGACAUAUGGCAGCUGCUCCAUAAAUGUUAGCACUUUUCUACUCCCUUUUUAAUUCGUAGGAUGCUGAACACAAGAGAAACAAAGAGACAUGCUAUGGCUAACACUGCUGCCACAAAUGUGUUGCUUUCAGUCAGAGCAGCAUUCUUGACAUUGUUUAAAACAGGAUAUUUGAUUACUUACCUUCUCUUAUUACACGCAGAUAUUAUACCAAAGCUCUUCCUCCUACAGUCUCUUACCCUGUGUCAGCAUUCUGUAGCCUCGGCAGGUGAUGUCAAUCUCUAUAUCGUUAAGAUUAUUCAGACAACCUUCAAAGCGCCAAGGUCUCCCCUUUCCCACCCCCGCAGCCUCAGAUUAACCGUAUAGCCUUCUACUGCAGGUGUUUUCUGAAGCUGUAGGAAAGUACCAAUGUUAAGGAAUCUUGUGUUUAUUCAGAAAUACAUAGUUUUUUCUAAUGAUUGUCAUGGUUCCUUUCUUAAAAGAAAUCAGAACAGUUGAGUGCAUAUGGUAUGAGGAAUUAGGAAUCACAUCUGAAGUUUAGAUGUUUGGAUAGUUUUACAGUAUUUACAUAAUCCAUGGUGGGUAUGAAUACAGAUCAGCAGUAAAGUCUUACACUUACAUUCACAAGCUUUAUUUCUAAAUACUGAAAAUGUUUGGUCCUUAAAAUGCCAUUUUCAAAGGUAUAAGUACUUUGAAACUGUAGGUACAAUUUUGAUUAUAGUAAAAAUCAAAAGUUAUAGCUUUUUGUUCUUUUGAGUUCAUGCAUGAUUGCAUACCAACUGGAAACAUUAUGCAGAACUGGUACUGAAAAUAUAGCCUGGGGCCUGCUUAUGGUCUUUUGACAUGCUACCUUCUGUUAUUCUGCUUAAUUCAUGACUCUAAAAGGCCAACAGCCCUCUAAAUGAACUUCUGAGGAAUUAGUGAUCAUAAUGAAAAUUGCAGCCCUUAUUCUCUACUGUGUGGGUUGGUAUAAGCAUGUGUGACCACAUGUAACAGGGUUAGAAGGAAAAAUAAUGCUUUGCCCUCUGGAAUUUGACCCUAUUUGAACUUUACUCAUGUUUCAGGUGUCUACGGACUUCUUUACCAUUGAAAUAGGACAGAAUUAUAAAUAAUGGCUUCAAAUGGAAAAACAGAAAAGUUAGCUUUGCUUGGGUCAGCGUUUUGAACCAGCACCUGUUUUCUUCUUUGAUUACUGAGCAGCUCAGUAUAUAACAAGUUCAGAAGCAGAAGCUAUGUCAUAAUAAUACAUGAUUGGCCACCCUAAUGGAUAUGAUGUCACGUCUCAUAGUUUUUAUUACAUUUCCCUAGUGAAUAGUAAUGUUUCAGUGUCUAUCAUGGUGCCUUCCAUAUGAUGGGAGCGAGAUAAACAUUGGCUGCAUGAAGGAAUCACCGUCACUCACUGGAUGCCCCUCGUGGCGAGCCUCACUGAGGUCUGAUGCAGCCUCCUGAACAUGCUAAGGCUUUACCUUCUUCCCCAAGACUCUUCCUUCUGCUGUUCAAGUAUUCAAGAUAAAUGAGGUCAGCUGUAGACAAUAACGUCAGCCUUCACAGACUACAGGUCCCAGCGCCCAAAGUCUCCUCCUUUUACCUGCUAACUAUUAACUGAGGAUGCACAGCACAAUCUUCAGAGGGUGGCGUACAGACAGCUCCAAUUUUUCAGAGCUCCACUUCAACAGCAAGCCUCUAUCUGAACGUCCAGACUCCCUCCUGAUAUCUGUCCUAUUGUCUGUCCUCCCUCCACCAAGAAUAAAGCCAUCUACCUUGUGAUGCAGUGGCUCCUGGUCCUUUGGCAUGGGAGAGGAGAGCAGGGAGCUUCCAGUGUGUGCCUCUCAGUCCCCAGGUGCUGGGGGAGCUCUGGUGAAUGAGAUCAGAGUGGAGUCUUGGGGCAAGUUGGGAGAUGAGGGACCUGCAGCUCUGAAAUUUUACUUCUGGAAAACUGAAAACAAGAUGUGUGUGCUUAUAUAUACUACAUAAAUUAAUGUGUGCAUGUGCAUGUGUGUGUAUACAUACACAUAUAUAUGUCUACAUGUGUGUAUAUGUAUUUUAAAUAAAAGAAAAAUAGAGAAAGUAACUAAAUUGUACUUAGUAUCACCAACUGGUUCUGAGACUGUGUCUAGACCAAUGAUUAUAAACAGAACAGAUCUAAAAUGCAUCUAUUAAUGCAACAAACAUGUAUAGGAAAUCUGCCCUCAUGCAACUCAGAGGCUUCAAGGUAGGCAAGCCAUAUACUAAAUAAAUAUAAUUUGUGUUACAAAGAAAUAAGGACUGCCAUGAGAAUAUACACAAGGACCUGACUUGUCUGCCCUGGGAGGGGACACCUCCCCCCCAAAAAGGCGAUGUUUAAGGUGAAACUUAAGGAAUAAGUAGCUGCUAGCUUCAUGAAGGGGACUGUCAGAGGAGAGAAUUACAGUGUAUUCAGAAUCCCUGAGACAAGGGACAGUGUGAGCAACCAACAGAAUUUCCUUACGGCUGAUGCAGAAAAUAAAGAGUGAUAAGACCAAAGCAGUGGACAGGACCUGAAUGUGGCGGCUGAUAUGGCUUUGGUCUGUGUCCUCAGAG